rnacentral:lncRNA from 1 species
GAAAAUUCAUACAGGAGAAAAACCCUACAAGUGUGAAGUAUGUGGCAAGAAUUUCCAUUGUACAACAUUAUUUUUAAACCACAAGAGAAGUCACUCGAGAGAGAAACCCUGCAAAUAUGAAGUAUGUAUCCUGAUCUUCUGUUGUCUAUAAUUACUUUCUGAACACAAGAAAAUUCACACAGGUGAGAAACCUGACAAUUGUGAAGUGUAAGUCAACUCUUUUAGAACUAGCCAGAUUCUUUUUACUCAUUGGAAACCAUACAAAUGUGAGGAAUGUUGAUUAUCCUCUAAAAAUUCAUACCCAUGUCUACACAAAGUAACUCAUAAUGUGGUGACAUUUACAAAUGCAAAGAAUAUGUUGAAAUGCUCAACAAAAACAUUAAGUAUCAUCAAAGAAUCAAUUCUGCAGAGAAACCAUAUAAAUCUAAAGAAUGUGGCAAAUAUGUUAGAAGUUCUAUAGCAUGGUCCAAACAUGGGAUAAUUCCUACUGGAGAGAAACAUAGUUGUGGAGAAUGCAGCCAAAACUAUUAUCAGUCUUCUGGUCUUAAGCAACAUUCAAGAAUUCCUGUGUGAGAGAAAGCACACAAGUAUGAAAAAUAUUCCAAGGUCUUUUGUACUUACUAAGGAGCAUGUAAAACAUCUUAAUUCAUAGAGACUAAAAUUCCACGUGUGAAAAAUGUUGCAAAUCCUUUAAUAAACUUUCUUAUAUUUCUCAGCACAAGGUAGUUUGAACUAUAGUGAAAUAAUACAAAUGUUUAAAUAUUCAGAAUAUUUUAAUACUUCUUCAGACACUAAUAUUUGUGGAAACCUUCAUGGUAAAUAGAAACCAUAUAAGAUUGAGGAAAUAAAGCCUUUGGAAUCAUUCACAUAAUCCUGUCAAAAGUACAGCUAUCAGACUUUUUUCUUCUGGAUUUUGGGCUGAUCCUUUCUUGCUGUCUUGUUUCUUCUGUUUUAGAAUCAGAACACUUCAAUUAUACAAUUGUGUUGGAAAUGUAGUCACUCAUUUUUAUGUUGUAAGAGAUCACACAUAAGAGAUUACCCUUAGUCUCACAUGACACAUGGACUGUGGCCUUUCAUAGUGUUUUAAUUGUUGAAUACUUUGUGGACCUUUCGAGUUGUAGCCUAUUUUACUUAUGAGAGAAGAGUAAUGUUGGGGAAAGGGGAAGAAAUGGGGAUUAAAGCUCUGACUAUGGCUAGCAUGAUAAGUUU